CAACUAUCCAAACUAUUUCAAAAAUGAACUAAGAAAAUUCCCUUUCAUAUGCAGUUACCAUAUUCCUACCCUACAAAAUGGGACUACCCCUAGUAAGCAACACACUUGUAAAUAGUUUGUGGCUCAAUCUAUCACAACCAUAACCCCUCUGUCAUAAUGGAAUGUAUCACUGUGACCUUUAAAGUCAACAGGGCUGCUUUCCUUAAAGGAGGGUAAACACAAUCACACCUGCAUCCAUUUCAAUUUCCUGACAUUUAUCAAUAUUAAGGGUAAAUGAAAUU
rnacentral:lncRNA from 1 species